CUAUCAUUCGCCUUCACCAUGAGGGGAAUUGUCCUAGCCCUCCUGUUCGCCCUUGUGGCGAGCCAGAAGAUUCCAUCCAAGGGCCAGACGCAAGAACCUGGUAA